rnacentral:rRNA from 1 species
UACGUAGGUGGCAAGCGUUAUCCGGAAUUAUUGGGCGUAAAGAGCGCGCAGGUGGUUGAUUAAGUCUGAUGUGAAAGCCCACGGCUUAACCGUGGAGGGUCAUUGGAAACUGGUCGACUUGAGUGCAGAAGAGGGAAGUGGAAUUCCAUGUGUAGCGGUGAAAUGCGUAGAGAUAUGGAGGAACACCAGUGGCGAAGGCGGCUUCCUGGUCUGUAACUGACACUGAGGCGCGAAAGCGUGGGGGGCAAACAGGAUUAGAUACCCGCGUA